rnacentral:rRNA from 1 species
CGGGGACCCGCACAANCCGGUGGAGCAUGUGGUUUAAUUCGAAGCAACGCGAAGAACCUNACCAACUCUUGACAUCCCAUUGACCGCUUGAGAGAUCAAGUUUUCCNUUCGGGGACAAUGGUGACAGGUGGUGCAUGGUUGUCGUCAGCUCGUGUCGUGAGAUGUUGGGUUAAGUCCCGCAACGAGCGCAACCCCUAUCNUUAGUUGCCAGCAUUNAGUUGGGCACUNUAGGGAGACUGCCGGUGACAAACCGGAGGAAGGUGGGGAUGACGUCAAAUCAUCAUGCCCCUUAUGAGUUGGGCUACACACGUGCUACAAUGGACGGUACAAAGGNCAGCGAGACCGCGAGGUGGAGCCAAUCCCAUAAAGCCGUUCCCAGUUCGGAUUGCAGNCUGCAACUCGCCUGCAUGAAGUNGGAAUCGUUAGUNAUCGCAGGUCAGCAUAAUGUCGGUGAAUACGUUCCCG